rnacentral:rRNA from 1 species
ACACAUGCAAGUCGAACGAGAAAUCGGGCACUCAGGCAACUGAGUGCCGGAGAGUAAAGUGGCGCACGGGUGAGUAACACGUGGGUAACCUACCCCCGAAUCCGGGAUAACCUCGCGAAAGCGUUGCUAAUACCGGAUAUUGUCCUUUUGGUUGUGACCUUUGGGAUGAAAGGCAACCUCUUCAUGAAAGUUGUCGUUCAGGGNAUGGGCCCGCGUACCAUUAGCUUGUUGGUGGGGUAACGGCUCACCAAGGCUACGAUGGUUAGCUGGUCUGAGAGGAUGAUCAGCCACACUGGAACUGAAACACGGUCCAGACUCCUACGGGAGGCAGCAGUGAGGAAUUUUGCGCAAUGGGGGAAACCCUGACGCAGCAACGCCGCGUGAGUGAAGAAGGCUUUCGGGUCGUAAAGCUCUGUCAAGUGGGAAAAAAGUCUGAUGAUUAAUAGUUGUCAGAUCUGAUGGUACCACUGGAGGAAGCACCGGCUAACUCCGUGCCAGCAGCCGCGGUAAUACGGAGGGUGCAAGCGUUGUUCGGAAUUACUGGGCGUAAAGGGCGUGCAGGCGGGUUGGUAAGUCAGAUGUGAAAGCCCUGGGCUUAACCCAGGAAGUGCAUUUGAAACUGCCAUCCUAGAGUAUGGGAGAGGAGAGUGGAAUUCCCAAUGUAGAGGUGAAAUUCGUAGAUAUUGGGAGGAACACCCGUGGCGAAGGCGACUCUCUGGACAAUAC